AUGCUGGGCUGCCUUGCGCUUCUGUGGGCCCUCCUCCUUCCUGGCAACCAGGCAGCGAUCAGGCUGGAGCAGCCGGCCUCGGUGGUGGCGCGCCCCGGCAGCUCGGCCAUCCUGCAGUGUGUGGCCAGCACCACGGUCAACUACAUCCACUGGUACCGCCACCAGGAGGGCAAGAGCCCGGAAAGGCUCCUCAGACUGGCCAUGUCCAAGUCGGAUGUACAGUGGGAUUCAGUCCUAAGAGCAGAUAAAGUCACCGCGAUGGAGGCCAAGAGUGAUUUGUCAGCGAGCCUCAGGAUCCACCAAGUUGAGGAGGCGGACGCGGGGCUGUAUUACUGUGCCUGCUGGGAUCCACUCUCCGGCUGGAUCAAGAUAUUCGGAGAAGGGACUAAGCUCAUAGUAACUCCCUCUGAUAGCAGCCUUCCUACAGACAUUUCCCCCAAGCCCACUAUUUUUCUUCCUUCAAUUGCUGAAGUAAACCUCCAUAAUGCUGGAACAUAUCUUUGUCUUCUUGAGAAGUUCUUCCCUGAUGUUAUCAAGGUAUAUUGGAAAGAAAAGAACAGCAAUACAAUUCUGGAAUCCCAGCAGGGAAAUACCAUGAAGACUAAUGACACGUACAUGAAAUUCAGCUGGCUGACUGUGACUGAAAAGUCAAUGGAUAAAGAGCACAGAUGUAUUGUCCAACAUGAGAAUAAUAAAAGAGGGGUUGACCAAGAGAUUCUUUUUCCUCCCAUAAUGAAAGAGGUCGCUGCUAUUGAUUCUACAAAAGUUUGUCUGAGAGAUGAAAGCAACACCCUGCAGCUGCAGCUCACCAGCACCUCUGCCUAUUACACCUACGCCCUCCUCCUCCUCAAGAGCAUGAUCUACUUUGCCAUCAUCGCCUUCUGCCUGUUCAGGAGAACAGCAGUCUGUGGCAAUGGAAAGAGUUCCUGACAGAUGGUGGAAACAAGAAGGCAACUUUUCUCCAUUGUUUAUUGUCCCUAAAAGUGUCUCAUAAAGUGGGCUUUUUCUCUGGGUGUGGGUUAUUUCAGUUCACAUGUGUGCUUUUCUAUUAUGUCAUUAUUGCAUCAUGGUUUUUCAAACCACCGG